rnacentral:rRNA from 1 species
AUUAGAUACCCUGGUAGUUCACGCCGUAAACGAUGAGUGCUAAGUGUUAGAGGGUUUCCGCCCUUUAGUGCUGAAGUUAACGCAUUAAGCACUCCGCCUGGGGAGUACGGCCGCAAGGCUGAAACUCAAAGGAAUUGACGGGGGCCCGCACAAGCGGUGGAGCAUGUGGUUUAAUUUGAAGCAACGCGAAGAACCUUACCAGGUCUUGACAUCCUCUGAAAACCCUAGAGAUAGGGCUUCUCCUUCGGGAGCAGAGUGACAGGUGGUGCAUGGUUGUCGUCAGCUCGUGUCGUGAGAUGUUGGGUUAAGUCCCGCAACGAGCGCAACCCUUGAUCUUAGUUGCCAUCAUUAAGUUGGGCACUCUAAGGUGACUGCCGGUGACAAACCGGAGGAAGGUGGGGAUGACGUCAAAUCAUCAUGCCCCUUAUGACCUGGGCUACACACGUGCUACAAUGGACGGUACAAAGAGCUGCAAGACCGCGAGGUGGAGCUAAUCUCAUAAAACCGUUCUCAGUUCGGAUUGUAGGCUGCAACUCGCCUACAUGAAGCUGGAAUCGCUAGUAAUCGCGGAUCAGCAUGCCGCGGUGAAUACGUUCCCGGGCCUUGUACACACCGCCCGUCACACCACGAGAGUUUGUAACACCCGAAGUCGGUGGGGUAACCUUUUUGGAGCCAGCCGCCUAAGGUGGGACAGAUGAUUGGGGGAAGUCGAGCAA